rnacentral:rRNA from 28 species
ACGACUCUCGGCAACGGAUAUCUCGGCUCACGCAUCGAUGAAGAACGUAGCAAAAUGCGAUACUUGGUGUGAAUUGCAGAAUCCCGUGAACCAUCGAGUUUUUGAACGCAAGUUGCGCCCGAAGCCUUUCGGCCGAGGGCACGUCUGCCUGGGCGUCACGC